ACACCCUUCCGUGAACCGUUUUGUUUUGCUUUCAGUGCUUUGUUGCGCUCGGAGCAUGUUUGGGCUUCGCUGCUGGCGCUUGAUUGUGCUGGCGGCUCGAGGCCAUCAAGCGGCGUUUUGAGUGUGCUUGCGCAAUUGAAACGUCCAAACCUUUUAAACCCAUUUGAUUGCAACUGAAGUAUACUGUGGGGACGAAAGUCCUCGCUUUGAAACUAAUCAACUUUCACAUGGAUGUCUAGGCUCGCACAUCGAUGAAGAACGCUGCGAACUGCGAUACGUAAUGCGAAUUGCAGGAUAGUGAGUCAUCGAACUUUUGAACGCAUAUUGCACUUUCGGGUUACGCCUGGAAGUAUGUCUGUAUCAGUGUCCGUACACUAAACUUGCGUCUCUUCCGCGUGAGUCGUCGGUUGUUUUGAUUGCAGAUGUGAGGUUGUCUCGCGAUCCGUUGCUUGUCGACAGGGUUGCGAGUCCCUUUAAAGUCGGACGCGUGUUUUUUUUCGUUUUGGCUCGAUGGGGUGCGGCUGC
rnacentral:rRNA from 1 species